UAAAGUAAGCUCUAUGCCCAGUGUAGGGCUCAAACUCACGACCCUGAGAUCAAGAGUCACAUGCUCUAUGGACUCAGCCAGUCAGGCAUCCCAGUCCUGCAGAUACUACUUUAAAAUUUG